GAUGAAGAACGCAGCGAAAUGUGAUAAGUAGUGUGAAUUGCAGAAUUCCGUGAAUCAUCGAAUCUUUGAACGCACAUUGCGCCUUCUGGUAUUCCGGAAGGCAUGCCUGUUCGAGAGUCAUUAACAACCGUUUCGAUCCCUUUCUUUCAGAAAUUACAAAGAGGAAAAGGGUUUGGUUAUGGUGGAGGAGGGAAAGGGAGCGUUUAGCCUGUAAAAAAAGAGGCUGUGUUCCGCCUCCCCCCCAAAAUUGUACAGGCGGUCGUGUGCGCCCACGCAUCGAGGUGUUGUAAAAGCUGCCACGGCACUUUUCACCUGUGCAGUGCGAGAUUGGCCAGCCGGUUUAAAAACCCCUCCAAACAAUCAAAGGUUGACCUCGGAUCAGGUAGGGAUACCCGCUGAACUUAAGCAUAUCAAUAAGCGGAGGA
rnacentral:misc_RNA from 1 species